GUGGGGAAUCUUGCGCAAUGGGCGAAAGCCUGACGCAGCCAUGCCGCGUGGAUGAUGAAGGUCUUAGGAUUGUAAAAUCCUUUCACCGGUGAAGAUAAUGACUGUAGCCGGAGAAGAAGCCCCGGCUAACUUCGUGCCAGCAGCCGCGGUAAUACGAAGGGGGCUAGCGUUGCUCGGAUUUACUGGGCGUAAAGGGCGCGUAGGCGGACAUUUAAGUCAGGGGUGAAAUCCCGGGGCUCAACCUCGGAAAUGCCUUUGAUACUGGGUGUCUUGAGUAUGAGAGAGGUGUGUGGAACUCCGAGUGUAGAGGUGAAAUUCGUAGAUAUUCGGAAGAACACCGGUGGCGAAGGCGACACACUGGCUCAUUACUGACGCUGAGGCGCGAAAGCGUGGGGAGCAAACAGGAUUAGAAACCCGGGUAGUCC
rnacentral:rRNA from 1 species